rnacentral:rRNA from 1 species
UACGUAGGGUGCGAGCGUUGUCCGGAAUUAUUGGGCGUAAAGAGCUCGUAGGCGGUGUGUCACGUCGGCCGUGAAAACCUGGGGCUUAACUCUGGGCGUGCGGUCGAUACGGGCAUCACUAGAGUUCGGCAGGGGAGACUGGAAUCCUGGUGUAGCGGUGAAAUGCGCAGAUAAUCAGGAGGAACACCGGUGGCGAAGGCGGUUCUCUGGGC